ACUCCUCUCUCUCUCUCUCUCUCUCUCUCUAUCUGCGAUUCCGAUUUUUCCAGCGACGACGACGACGACGACGACGACGAGGGAGGAGACCAAAGCAGGCGAUCGAGACCGUGCGAAGCCGAGAUCGAUGGACUCCCUGGGCGCGUACAUCUCCUACGAGAAGCUGAAUGGCGUCGCCUCCUGGGUCGGCACCAGCGUCGCGGCGGCCUUCUUCGCCUCCCUCGAGCGCUGCUCCUGCAUCAACCUCUCCACCUCCGAGGACGACGCCGACGACCCCACCGAGGCCCACGACCUCCCCCUCAUGCUCUCCUCCGCCACCAACGGCGACCCCAACGACGUCGCCAACCUCCCCGUCUGAGCCCCUGAGCUCCCGAUUCCGAGCCGCUCCGGUACAAUUCCUGUCGAAAUUUCCCCCCGGAUCGAUCGCCUUUUUGUUUUCUUCUUCUUCUUCUUCUUCUUUCUUUUUGUGUAUUUCUUUCGGGCGAUAUGUGUUCGCUGAAUGUGAUUAAGUCCUUUUUUUUGGUUUUUUUCUUUUUUUUUGGGGUUCGCUCCUAAGUUAGCGCAUUGGCGUGGCUGUAUCUGGUCGCGCAAUCGUGAAUCGUGAUCCUUUAGGCUGGAUCGAGCGCUCGUGGCUAUUCGAUUCGCCGGUGGAUCGCGCUUGUUAGUGAUUUGAUUUUGCAUCAUCAGUAUGUCUGGUUUCUUUUCUGUUCGGAUUGUACAAUGAUGAAGCUGUUGUUGAUAUAAUUUCUUCAAAGUCUCGGAUUUGAACGUGGUAAUGGCAGUUUUGGAGAUGGCAUAAA